rnacentral:rRNA from 1 species
UCAGGAUGAACGCUGGACGGCAUGCCUAAUACAUGCAAGUCGAACGAGAGGAGGAAAGCUGUUUUCUGAAUCUAGUGGCGAACGGGUGAGUAACACGUAGGUAACCUGCCCAUGUGCCCGGGAUAACUUCUGGAAACGGAUGCUAAACCGGAUAGGUAGCAGACAAGCAUUUGACUGCUAUUAAAGUGGCUAAGGCCAUGAACAUGGAUGGACCUGCGGUGCAUUAGCUAGUUGGUGAGGUAACGGCCCACCAAGGCGACGAUGCAUAGCCGGCCUGAGAGGGCGGACGGCCACAUUGGGACUGAGACACGGCCCAAACUCCUACGGGAGGCAGCAGUAGGGAAUUUUCGUCAAUGGGGGGAACCCUGAACGAGCAAUGCCGCGUGAGUGAGGAAGGUCUUCGGAUCGUAAAGCUCUGUUGUAAGAGAAAAACGACAUUCAUAGGGAAUGAUGAGUGAGUGAUGGUAUCUUACCAGAAAGUCACGGCUAACUACGUG